ensembl:miRNA gga-mir-7440 gga-mir-7440
UGUUUGAGUGCACCUGGGUGCUACAGGUGGUGGUGCCUGUAGCAGCAUUUUGGUGUAGGCCAGGACAGC